GGGGUUGUGGCUCAGUGGUAGAGUGCUUGCCUUGCAUGCAUGAGGCACUGGGUUUGAUCCUCAGCACCA
rnacentral:tRNA from 1 species